rnacentral:rRNA from 1 species
GAUGAACGCUGGCGGCGUGCCUAAUACAUGCAAGUCGAACGAACAGACGCUAAGCUUGCUUCUCUGAUGUUAGCGGCGGACGGGUGAGUCACACGUGUAUAACCUACCUAUAAUACUGGUAUAACUUCGGGAAACCGGAGCUAAUCCCGGAUGAUCUUUUGAACCGCAUGGUUCAAAGGUGAAAGACGGUCUUGCGGUCACUUAUAGAUGGAUCCGCGCUGGAUUGGCUGGUUGGUAAGGUAACGGCUUACCAAGGCAACGAUGCAUAGCCGACGGAAGAGGGGGAUAGGCGACACUGGAAGGGAGACACGGUCAAGAGUACUGAGGUAGGGAGCAGUAGGGAACCUGAGGCAAUGGUGGAAAGCCUGACGGAGCAACGCCGCGUGAGUGACGAAGGUCUUCGGAGCGGAAAACUCUGUUAUGAGGUAAGAACAGAUGUGUAAGGAACUGUGCACAGCUUGACGGUAAUUAAUCAGAAGGCCACGGCUAACUACGUG